GUCGCUCCUACCGAUUGGGUGUGCUGGUGAAGUGUUCGGAUUGGCAAUUAUCGGUGGCAACACCGUCGAUUGCCGAGAAGUUCAUUAAACCCUCCCACCUAGAGGAAGGAG
rnacentral:rRNA from 1 species